rnacentral:rRNA from 2 species
GGUGAACCUGCGGAAGGAUCAUUAUCGAGCU